UCAGCAGCAGCAGCAGCAGCAGCAGCAGCAGCAGGAGCAGCAGCAGCCACACGGGUGAUCUUUGGGAGGAACCGGUCUUGGCCCUUCCUCUGGAAGUGCUGUGGCCUUGUCAUUUCCACCGCAGCCACAGUCCUGGUUCCAGAGCAUCAGACAUCCCGUGGAGCCACAGGGGAGAUCAGAAGUGAUUCAGGGCCCAGUGGGCCAACAUAAGUUAAGGUCAGGAACAAGGAACAUAGGCAGCCGGAGUCAACAGCAACAAAAAAUUGAGUUUCGACUUUCUGUCCUAGGAAGAGCAGACAGGCAGGAAAAUCCCCCAAAGGCGGUGAUUCUGCUUUCUCUUCGCACCCCCUCGGAUCGCAUAUGCAUAACUGUGUGCAUGGAACCGGCUCAAGAAAUGCCUGUCGCAGCCUGAACUACGACUUUCUCAGGUGGCCCUGGGUACACUGACUUCUCAAUAAGAAAAACAAAUUGGCAAUGACCUCAGUAGUCAACCUGAUAAAUAUGUUACGGGAUAUCCUUGUGAUGUGAUAUCACUCAUACCUUAAAAAACAUUUUUGAAGACAUUUUUAAUGACAUGAGAAAAUCCCACUACGUAAGCUUGCUUUAUUUAUACAUAACUUCCCAUAUAAAUAUAAGAUGUCAAGGUUAUAGUCUAAAGAUGAAAGAUGAUGAGAAAAAAAGAAAGGAAGGAAGGAGGAAAGGACAGAUGGGCUAAUGGGGAAGAAAUGUAGCAACAUGUAAAUGUUGGUGAUCCUGAAUAAUUCUGGGUAUUUUUAAAUUUCUUUCUUUCUUUAGGACCUUCGGUUCUUUAAAUUUUCUAAGAUACUCCCACGCUGCUUAUAAUAUUAACAGAAAAUAUAAACCUUGUUAGGGCUACAACUGCUUAUCAAAAUGUCACAUUUUCAAAUAGUAUUUUUAAAAAUAUAGCAUCAUAGAGUAAAAGAGUAGGCCAGGGGUAGGGUGGAGAAACUUAGUGAUCAUUAAGAAUAAUUUUUUUUUUUUUAAGAAUUUUCUAGCUGCUAUAAGAAGGGAAGCUAUCUGGGUGACUCUGUCAGACUCUGUCUGCCUUUGGCUCAGGUCAUGAUCGCAGGGUCCUGGGAUUCAGCCCUGUGUUGGGCUCCCUGCUCAAUGGGGCAUCUGCUUCUCUCUCUCUCCCUCUGCCCUACACCCCUCCUACACCUUGCACUUGUUCUCUCUCUCUCUCUCUCUCUCUUUCUCUUUCAAAUGAAUAAAUAAAAUCUUUUAAAAAUAAAUAAAAUAAAA
rnacentral:lncRNA from 1 species